AUAUCAUCUGUGGAAGGCAUAGGACCAUAAAAUGUUCAUCCAAUCAUAUCCCUCGGUCUAAGGAAUAUGAUGCCUGUCAACGUAUGUUUUUACAUACCCUCGCACACUCUGUUCACGCAGACAUCAUACAUCAUCAGUGUGUUUCAUGCUAUGCAGACUCGAGUUAAUGCAGACAACAGUCACGAGCACCGCAACCAAAACAGCAACCACGUUUUACAGUUCCUUCUGAACCAAAAUGAGCUCAUGCUGCAUUUACACCAUAAUGCAAUUUGGAAGAGAUGGAAACCCGUGAUCUUAUACUCGGAUCGGUUCGUAACUCGAAUUUCUGCAUUUCACUGGCAACACUAUCAACGCCGAAAUGAAUCUGCAGCAGUCAGGUGGUACAGGUCAGUGCUCUUUAAGUUGUUUACGUUCAUUAUUGUUGUAAUGUUAUAUGCUUUGAGACAUGAGGUAGUUUAACGCUGUCUCUCGUGAAGCUUUGUUUGCUCCCUGCUGUACGCGUUCAUGUGUUUUGGAGGAGGCGUGGCUUUGGAGACACUCCAAAGCUAGAUCGCUAUUGCUAGCCUCUCCAAAUAUGACCUACCCUGCCUUUAAAGAGAUAUAACCAGUUUAGUUGGAAAGGAUCUAAAGCUGACUAGCUGAAGACGUUACUGUAGCUUUACCUAUUAAUAGACACAUUACUUCCUUGAAAAUAAAUUCCAGCACAGCUACAACAACCAUAAUGAAAUGACCCUUCACAAUAAUGCUUUACAAUGAACUGUUGAGUAAAAAAAGUUAAAGACUGCUGCAGAGUCAUUCUUUUAAAUUGAAAAUCGAAAUGGAUAGAUACUCGAUUCACAUUGAGUAUCACAUUGAGGCCAGUAGUUUAAGAGUAAUUGUAAAAUAGCUCAGAAAAGUGAAGUUAAUUCUGAUAAAAAGUCAUAAUCAUUUGUUUGCAGAAGCCACUUUGAAAUGUUGUAUCGAAUGCCAUGACAUUCAGAUGUAUUUAAGUGUGACUUCGUUUCUUUUCAGUUGUCCUCUAACUUUCCCAUUAAGUUUGAAAUAUUGCCUCCUAUUGUGUGGUGGUAUUGAUUCACACUUUAUUUUUUCCACAAAAAAAAAAAGAAAAGAUAAGAAGCAAUUUACCUCUUGUGCUCUUUUUGGUCUCGUAUGAAAACAGAUGGUCAUGAUAUUGAAGGGGUGGAAGAGACAGCACUGUCGGUAAUGAAGGUGCUCUUGCUGAGUGCACAUUUCCAAGAUCUUAAUAGAUUCACAGUCUGUGAAGACAGUUUAUCUCUAGGAACUGAAGCACUGCAUUUCACGGUAUUUGCCGCCUGUCUGAUGACAGUGCAAUGGGGGACACAAUGAUGGAAGAGUUUCCAGCUAUUGUUGUUUUAUGCUUUGCAGUUAUAGUGGCAUAAGAGACAUCAUCUCCAGGCAGUGUUCUUUCCCACAGAGAAAAAUAAUGACAGCAGCACCAUGCACUCCAUCGCUCUCUGUUAUGUCUUUGCCGCAUAUAGCUCUCCUGAAGUCAUGUCUGUAUUUCGUACAUAUUUUUGUACAUCAACUGCCAGUUUAGGUAUUGAGGUGUAAACCAUCCCACAUGCUGAAUUGGAUUACCCAUUUUUCACAAACUACUACACCUCCUGACCCUGUCUGUUUGUUUAUUAAAUAUUUUGGCUUAUUUAAUUAUGCCUUCAGCUAAAAUGCCAGUCCACUUGUGAAAAUGCUUCUAUUUUGCAUUAAUUUAAUGCCCUUUUUUCAUUGCAAAUUAUCAGCAUAACAAUGUAAGUGACAAAUUGAAUUGAAAAAAUGAAUUAAUAACACUUUAUACUUUUUAACAUUAAUACUUUUUAACAUUAGUUUUAACAGCUUUCAUUAAAAUGUAUAAUGUUAUAAAGUAUAAUGUUAAAGAUAUAGAUGUAUUGUGCAUUGUUAGUUCAUGUUAUCUAAUGUAGUGUCAGCAAAUGAGAACUUAUUGCAGGGGUAUUCAAUUAAGGUUCUCUAUAGUUCCUUCCCAGCAGAGGACUGGACAACACUUUUUUUUGUAACAGUUAUGUGUAACCCGGGUAAUCAGGUUACCAGUUAAAGGAUUAAAAUGAUUUAUAAAUUAAGUUGAAGAAAGCUAAGAAAAGGAAAAAAGGGAGGAAAGUUCUAGAAGGUAACCUGUUCCGUCCAAUCGCUGUUCUCAUUUCAAUGACUGACUCUCCUAAGAGCCAAUGGUAGCAGCACUUUCAUAAGUCCCGCCCACAGGCUGCGCCGGCGCCACUGUCAGCGUGAGCGAGUCAGACGAAGCAGCACAUUCUGAGUAAUAUCUUCAUGUUAUGUGAGAAAAGAGUCACAAAUGAGAAGUGAUUAUACAGGCCGCGCUAGUACAGCGUGAGCUGUAGUAAUAGCACGAGGGCUAAAGCUAACUCGUGUGAAGGUGCUAACGAGUUAAUGAAAUGUCUUAAAGUGUGACGUUUAAGUGUCAAGUUUCCUGUUUUUUGCCAUAUUUAAUCCUUUUGGAGAGGAAUCGUCUGUGUAUUGGACGCGAGUAAAUGUGCAUAAUGGCGAGCUGCCCGUGGACCUGUUUCCAGUGUGAACUGUGCUUAGAAAUCAUCAACUGAAUUUUCGAGAAGAGUCUCACUGCAGCCUGCGACGGACACCCAACCCGGCCCACAUCCAGUGUGACGUCAGAAGCCAGGCCAAUGCCGCCCUAGAGGACGAUUCUUAAGAUUUUAUCGGUCAUGUCAAUCACGAUCGCAAUGAAACCCACUCAAAACCCACCUAAAACCAACCCUUACACCUGCAACCAACUCAUAACCUACCCUUACACCUAAACCCCCCCAUUUUGGGGGCAGUUGUGGUCUAAUGGUUAGAGAGUCGGACUUGUAAACCAAAGAUUGCGGGUUCGAGUCUCAGUACUGGCAGGAAAUGUAGGUGGGGGGAGAGAAUGAACAGUGCUCUCUUCCACUCCUUGGCACCUUACCCCCAUUUGACCCUUCGCAAAGACCCGCCCUUAGUUACUGUUGCUUUGUCCGACAAGCUGUGGCGUGACAUCGCGGAGCAAAGAGGACACUGACAACACAUCGACAGACAAGACAAAGCAGGAUACUUAUGAUAUUAAACAAAGUCCCAGCUUUCAA